rnacentral:rRNA from 1 species
AAGACCUUGCGCUUUUGGAGCGGCCGAUGUCUGAUUAGCUUGUUGGUGAGGUAAAGGCUUACCAAGGCUUCGAUCAGUAGCUGGUCUGAGAGGACGGCCAGCCACACUGGGACUGAGACACGGCCCAGACUCCUACGGGAGGCAGCAGUGGGGAAUUUUGGACAAUGGGGGCAACCCUGAUCCAGCCAUGCCGCGUGAGUGAAGAAGGCCUUCGGGUUGUAAAGCUCUUUCAGCCGGAACGAAACGGUUACGAUUAAUACCCGUAACUACUGACGGUACCGGAAGAAGAAGCACCGGCUAACUACGUGCCAGCAGCCGCGGUAAUACGUGGGGUGCGAGCGUUAAUCGGAAUUACUGGGCGUAAAGCGUGCGCAGGUGGUUUUGUAAGUCAGAUGUGAAAUCCCCGGGCUUAACCUGGGAACU